UGGAGGGAACGUUACAGCCGAGCACGAGGUAAUGCUACCUGAGCUAACUUGCUAGCUAAAACCGCUAACAGCAUGGACGAACUUGAUGACGCCACGGUGUCGCCUUUAGGAGGAACAAAAGGAGGAAAAGUCAUCUCACCUCCUGCUUUUAAAGUCUUGGUGACAUCAUCAAGGAGGUUGCCAGAUUCAACCAUUCAUGGAGGGUGUUUGGGUAUUAUGUUAUGGUUUAUCAUUGUGUUGAUUUUUUUCAAGGUGAAAUGGGACAAAAGAGGUAGAGCUUAAGGUUAAUAUCAAUGUCUUCUUCAUGUUAGAUAAAUUGAUAACUUUCCACUUACUUGUUGUUUCAAAGGAAAAGGAAAUGUACCUGCUUAAUGGUACUUCCCAAUUGGAGGCUGGUUUAGUGCUGAUGGACAGCAUUAUUUAAACAGUGGCUUGAUGGCCCUUGAGGAGGACAGAACUAAGGUGUAGCUGUAUACAUGUUAUGUUAGUUCAUGUUGGUAUGAGUUCAGCUUUAUUCAGUCAAGCUGUGUUAACUGUUUAUUUUUGUGUACAUUUUUGUAGAUAUUUUCUUUUGGUUUUUGUGUACACAGAGACACCUAUAAAUAAAUGCACUUCAGGAUGGAACAAGUUGGGUCUGCCUCCUAAAUUAAAUUCCUUCUGCUCUGGCCAGGCUACACCACAAGGUGGUUGUCUUAAAUCUAGAACAGUAUCACUAUUGUAGAGGUUACAGUAAGUUUAAUGCACUUGAAUUGAGAUAUUACACUUCACUUCAAAUAAAUGUUGUUAACAAUAUUCUCUGUAUGAUUUUAAAUGUAUUGAUUAAGAUAAAAGCUAAUCAUAACUGUUACGUGCCGUGUGGUUUCCGUGUUUCUUUUCCUUUUCUUUAGGGCUUUAAGUCUAUAUCUCCUCAAACCAAGUAUUUAUUUCUUGUUUCUUAAGACUAUUCAUUUUUGUAGUGUGUCCUGUAUCCUCUAUGUAAGUGCCAGAGGUUGCUGUUUAGUUUGUUACUUCUGGGGAGGAGUCACAAGGUGGUGGUAUGUCAGCAGGAAGUAAAAUCAGCUGUUCUUCACCUGGUGAUUUGAUGAAUGAACUGAGAAGGUGAGGGGGGAAGUCCUACUUUGCUGACCGCUGAAUGUAAAGAUAAAGGCACUGUUUCAGAUGUUUUUAGUAUUGUGGAAACCUUUCACUGUUUGUGUUUUUUAGCAUCAAUAAAUGUGCACUGAUCAGUA